GUGGGGAAUUUUGGACAAUGGGCGCAAGCCUGAUCCAGCAAUGCCGCGUGUGUGAAGAAGGCCUUCGGGUUGUAAAGCACUUUUGGCAGGAAAGAAAUAGUGCGUGCUAAUACCAUGCGCGAAUGACGGUACCUGCAGAAUAAGCACCGGCUAACUACGUGCCAGCAGCCGCGGUAAGACGUAGGGUGCAAGCGUUAAUCGGAAUUACUGGGCGUAAAGCGUGCGCAGGCGGUUUUGUAAGACAGGUGUGAAAUCCCCGGGCUCAACCUGGGAACUGCACUUGUGACUGCAAGGCUAGAGUGUGUCAGAGGGAGGUGGAAUUCCGCGUGUAGCAGUGAAAUGCGUAGAGAUGCGGAGGAACACCGAUGGCGAAGGCAGCCUCCUGGGAUAACACUGACGCUCAGGCACGAAAGCGUGGGGAGCAAACAGGAUUAGAAACCCCUGUAGUCC
rnacentral:rRNA from 1 species